UACGGAGGGUGCGAGCGUUAUUCGGAAUUACUGGGCGUAAAGCGCGUGUAGGCGGCAGGGCAAGUCUGGUGUGAAAGCCCAGGGCUUAACCCUGGAAGUGCACUGGAAACUGCACGGCUUGAGUGCCGGAGAGGAGGGGGGAAUUCCCGGUGUAGCGGUGAAAUGCGUAGAUAUCGGGAGGAAUACCGGUGGCGAAGGCGCCCCUCUGGACGGUAACUGACGCUGAGGCUCGAAAGCGUGGGUAGCAAACAGG
rnacentral:rRNA from 1 species